GAUGAACGCUAGCGGCAGGCCUAAUACAUGCAAGUCGAACGAGAUUGUUGUAGCAAUAUGACAUGAAAGUGGCGCACGGGUGCGUAACACGUAUGCAAUCUACCUUUGAUUGGGGGAUAGCUUCGAGAAAUCGGAAUUAAUACCCCAUAACAUAAUUGAAUGGCAUCAUUUGAUUAUCAAACUUCCGGGGAUCAAAGAUGAGCAUGCGCAACAUUAGCUAGUUGGUAAGGUAAUGGCUUACCAAGGCUACGAUGUUUAGGGGGUCUGAGAGGAUGAUCCCCCCCACUGGUACGGAGACACGGACCAGACUACUACGGGAGGCAGCAGUAGGGAAUAUUGGUCAAUGGAGGAAAUUCUGAACCAGCCAUGCCGCGUGCAGGAUGACGGCCCUCUGGGUUGUAAACUGCUUUUAUACGGGAAGAAAAAGAGCUACGUGUAGCUUAUUGACGGUACCGUAAGAAUAAGGAUCGGCUAACUCCGUGCCAGCCGCCGCCGCCG
rnacentral:rRNA from 1 species